AUUACUGUGUGGUCUAGGUGGAGAACUUGGUGUAGCAACAGACAAGCUUGUAUUUGGAAGUGGGAUCGCUUUCUCAGUUGAAUCAAAAAGACAAGAAGAUUCUACACCAGAAGUCAUUGCACUUAAAUCAAAGGAAUGCAAACAAUAUGGCAAUGUAUCAAACAUAGCUUGUUUGGCAAGAACAUUCUACAAGAACAUCAGUCUUGAUGGGCCCAAGGGUGACAUUGUGUAUGAUCUGAAGGAACCUAUUCUCACAUCGGAGGGGAUGUACAGUACCUUGAAAGUAGUUGGCAUAAAACCAGAUACAGAAGGGACCUGCAAAGCUGUGCACAAGGGGAACAAGACUGUAGUGAGCACAAUCCUGCCAGAAAAGAAAGAUGAAGAAUUGGCAGCAGAAAAUGCUUGCAACUUCACAAAUGCCUUUAAAAAAGACAUCAAAAUGGAGAAAAUGAACAUGCUGUUCAUGGCUGUUUUGGGUUUGAGGGUCUUGCUGGCAAAAUGUGUCGCCUUCAACAUACUCAUGAGUAUCUGUCUGUUCAUAUUCUGAGGUACUAGGUUAAGUGAGCCAGCAGCGGGCUGAAGAAGAGAAGGAGAGAAUAUAUAGCAGUGUAAUUUAAACUCUGUGGCUCAACUUUGCUGACAAUAAGCAUCUAAAGAAACAAAGAAGCAACACCCCAAUCCCAGUUCCUGUAGAUUUGAUUAAGUCCCAUCACUUCAUCAAGGUGCUCUUCAGUUAACAUCAUCUGAAAGCUAUCUUAAACCGUUAAUACUGUUGAACUCUUGCCUUUUUCAGUUCCAUUAAUUAUUAAAACAACAAUUUGUUAUUUCUUAUUUCCUUACAAAAUUUCCUUCAUCGUUAUGCUAAGCAGGAAUACUUUAUUUUCUUACGUCUCUUGCUUUAUCCACUGCAUUUAAGUAUCCAAAUAUCCUAGUUUUGAAAGUGUUAAAACUGAGAUCACUUAUUUAUUAUGCUUUAAAAAUGACAUCUCUAGUCAUGCUGCAUUACUGUCUGCAGAAGUAAUGCCAUACUGCUUAGGGAUCCCUAAGCAUAGAGGAAAUAUUGUACGGUACUAAUUUUUAAAAGACUUUAGUAGUGGUAAUUUUCUAGUGUACGUAAACUCUACUGAUCUCUGCUGGACUUGAAGGAACCCACUUCCAUUUGUUCCUCCAGAACAUUUUUCUCUUUGUUAAAUAUGUGGACCCUGUAUUUUAGGUUAAAAUAAAGGUUAAAAUAAAGUUUUAUUACAUUGAAGUG
rnacentral:lncRNA from 7 species